AACGUUAUUCCUCUGAGCACCUGCUUUUGUGCCCAGUGUGAACCUGCAGAGGAAGUGGGUUCCAGGCAACCGAGGCUGUAACACACACACACACACACACACACACACACCCCUCCUUUAAUGACCUGCCUGCAAUUGAUAUACUGCUAAGUAGCAUUUCUUGUACUGGGGAGAUUCUAUUUCCACACUAGCAGCAAAUUUGACCUUUGUGUCAGCUGCCAGCUGCUUAUAAUUCUGACAGAUGCAAGCACAUUUCUGGGAAGCUGUAGCCACUCAGGACCUUGCAGAUCAACAGGCAACGCUGGCGGCUUUGGUAAGAUUGAUCGGCCCACGAGAAUCCCAUUUACAGGCCGAGCGGAGCCUCGGUUUACCACGGCCAGGGCACUAAUGACUUCGACAGCCCCCAUCUAAAUCUGUCAGCUGGGGCCGGUGGCGAUAUUAAAGAACACUCUAUUUAUACGAAGCAGCAAUUAGAGGAAUGCUUGCCAAUGGGGCACCGCUUCCAAGUAAAUCCCCGGCCUUCCAAAUGGUGUCAUGCUCGUGGUUAUUUUAAUCCGCUUGGAAUUUCAGGGAUAUUAAUGUGACGGGCCAUCGCGGAGGAUUAGCCAGGUUUAUUUCUGCUGACAUUUCAGAGAGCACACUCAGGUUCCCAAGACGAGCCUGCGCCUCCCCAGCACAUGGCCGGGCAGCUGCAGAGGGUGCGAGUUCCUGCAGCCCCGAGUGCCCGGCCGUCUCCUCCGCCCCUGGCCUCCUCCCGCCUUUCCCAAGGCACCUCGCCUUCUGCCUCUGGGCCCCCUGUCUCCCAUUUCCCUCUCUGCCCCGUCCUUCUCUUGUUCUCUCCAGGAAACGAAACUGAACCCGAGACGGCCGGCCUUACAGGAAGUGCACAACACAGAUCCAGCGCCGGGCCUGCGGU
rnacentral:lncRNA from 12 species